rnacentral:lncRNA from 1 species
CAUGUGGCCCCUCGGGAGGCAGCCGGUGUCCUGGUUCGCUCCACCACCCCGAAGGGUGCCAUAAUCUGGGGCCACGUGGUGUUUGCCACCCAGGAGACAUCUCCCUAUGACAUAGCAGUGGUGAGCCUGGAGGAGGACCUAGAGGGUGUCCCCAUACCUGUUCCAGCUGAGGAUUUCCAUGAAGGCGAGGCCGUCACGGUGGUGGGCUUCGGCGUCUUCGGCCAGGCUUGUGGGCCCUCAGUGACCUCAGGCAUCCUAUCGGCUGUGGUGCAAGUAGAUGACACACCAGUUAUGCUACAGACCACAUGUGCCGUGCAUGGUGGCUCCAGCGGGGGACCUCUCUUCUCCACCUGCUCUGGGAACCUCUUAGGCAUCAUCGCCAGCAACACCCGGGACAAUAACACUGGGGCCACCUACCCCCACCUGAACUUCAGCAUUCCCAUCACGGUGCUCCAGCCGGCCCUGCAGCAGUACCAUCAGACAGGAGAUCUGGGCGGCCUCCGGCAGCUGGACCGCGCCACUGAGCCAGUCAGGGUGGUGUGGCGGCUGCAGCAACCCCAGACAGAGGCCCCACGGAGCAAGCUCUGAAGCUGUGUCUCCCCUCUGGAGAGAAGAGCAGCCACUUUAUGCCACAGGGAGUGCUAAAGCUGGUGACCUCAGAAUCCUGACCCAGCACGCUGCAGCUGGGCUGCCUCCCGUCGCCAGCCCUGGAGUCUGGAUCAAACUUCUCAUUAGCCUCUAUGGGUCUCUAACCUAGUCGCCCAUUUGAGGGGUGCUUUCUCGAGCCCCCAUCUCUCUCUGUCCCCUGACACUAGACUCAGCUCUGUUCUCUCCCCUUCUGGGGAACCCAGAAUGACUGUACAACAGCCCUGGUCCUGACAGACGGAUGGGAGUUGGAAGGCAGGUCCAGCCCUGGGUUUGAGUCUGCUCCCUGUCUCCUGAUGGCCACCGGCCGCCUGGAGCAGUUGCUUCCUGCACCCUGAGCUCCUCUCUGCUCUGGGUCAGAAUGGGGCUGGCAGAGCACUGGGGCUUCCUCAGAAAAAUGGGCACAGAGGCCCUGUUCUGAAGACCAGAGGUGAAAGGAGGGCAUCUUCCUGUUCCGCUAGACCAGAGGCGGUGGCGUGCCUGAAAGCCAGGACUCCUGGCUCUUCAUAUGCCAGGGGCCCUGACCUACAGGGAUGCUCUGACACAGUGCCUUAAUUUUCCAGCCCAUAAAAUGGGCCUCAGGGAUCUGGGGACAGGGGGCUGGGAUGUGUCUGGUUGGGGUUUGGGAAUAAACAGGAUCGAUAGGAGACAGGACCUACUUCUAUAUAUCAGCUUCUUUUUCUCCUCCUCCUUUGUUUCGAGAGUUGAGUGGGAAAUAGGAAAGCACCAGGCACAGAAAUACAGCUUUUCUGUCCUGCUUUCUCAGUGCGGCUUCAUCUCACAGGACACUCGUGCCAGACUAGUCCUGGUAGCUGGUCCUGGUGCCAGUCACCACGGGGUGGGGCUUGCAGAUCCCGGAGGGUGGUGAUCUUAGCCUGGCUUCAGGUGUUCAGAAAGUGCCCAGGCCUUUGCCAGGCCCUGGAAGUGGGUGGGAGUGGGCAGUUCAAAGGGGAAUGAGGCCAAGGCAGCCCCUUGGAGCUAAGACCAACCCUGGGGGUCAGGAGCAUACACUGUGUGUGUGCCCAGGGCCCUACACAUGUAGGCCCUCAAGCAAUGAUUGUUAAAUCAUCAAUAGGUUGGGCCCCUCAUCUUACUGCAUCUGGGGCUGCCCUUUCAGAGGAGCCAUGGCCAGGGUUGAUCCAUCCAGGCUGGGAGGGGUGCUCCACCAUGGGUGUGGAUUGCAGGUGAAGCUGGGUGCUGUCAACUGAAGCUGUGGGAGCAGGUGGAGUGAAGGGCCUGGGGCCAGAGCAGGAGCCUGCCAGGGGCUGAGAAGAGACAAGCAGAAGCACAGGAAGAAAACCGGGGAGGCUAAGACCUAGGUCAGUGGGGCAGACACCAGAAUCUGUUUUCCUCACUUCUUUCCGGUCCUGGCCACCCUCGCAGUCAGGUGUGUCUGUGAGUUCCAACUCACGGUACCAGAGCAGAAGGGAGGUUUGCCACUUCCAGGCUGGCUUAUAGAAACUUAUCUGGACUUCUCUGCACCCUUACCCCCACCCCCCGCCCCUGGUGGGAGUGAAGGCAACCCUUUAAAGAGACCUUGGGAGCCAUUUAUUAAAGAUGGCCCCCUCGUUCUGGUCCCUGGAUGACGGUGUGGAGGGGGCAGCCUCAUUAACCAGUCCAUCGGCCAGGUACUGAAACCCAGGCCAGAAUUGCACUUCUGCUGCAUUUGAGCCAUUAGACGGGGGGAUCUAUUCGUCACAGCCAUAGAACCUGUCCUCAUAAAGUCUUUGCCUACCUGGGAGCACUAGGCCAAACCACAUUUCGAGGGAGAGUCCUCCUGUCAUCUGAGGGUUAUACAUUUCACUAAAACCAACCAGGCUCUUUGGAUGAAGCUAAGAGUUGUCUCUUCCUUGAGUGGGGUUAGCACUUCUAUUUCUUUGGGUCCCCGGGUUGAGCCCAGUACCUUGGAGUUCCUCCCAGCCCUGGGAGACCAUAGUAGGGUCACCUGUUGCUGUCAGAGACUGUCCUCAGGCCUGGGUGCGCUCACUCAUCAUGGCUGAGAGCCAGCAAUGCUUCCUUCUCAUAGACUCUGUGAUAUUUAAUCUGUGUGCCAUUCUGGUUAAUCAUUAAAGUUCCACAGAAC